rnacentral:rRNA from 1 species
UACGUAGGGACGAGCGUUGUCCGGAAUUACUGGGCGUAAAGGGCGCGCAGGCUGUAGAUCAAGUCAGCUGUGAAAUGUCUGGGCUUAACCCGGGCAUGCGGUUGAAACUGAUGUACUGGAGUGCUGUAGAGGCAAGUGGAAUUCCCAGUGUAGCGGUGAAAUGCGUAGAUAUUGGGAAGAACACCGGUGGCGAAGGCGACUUGCUGGGCAGCAACUGACGCUGAGGAGCGAAAGCAUAGGUAGCGAACAGGAUUA